rnacentral:rRNA from 1 species
GUUAGGCGUAGGCGGGACAGUUAAGUCAGUGGUGAAAUACUUCGAGCUCAACUCGGAAACUGCCAUUGAUACUAUCUGUCUUGAAUACUGUGGAGGUGAGCGGAAUAUGUCAUGUAGCGGUGAAAUGCUUAGAUAUGACAUAGAACACCGAUUGCGAAGGCAGCUCGCUACACAAAUAUUGACGCUGAGGCACGAAAGCGUGGGGAUCAAACAGGAUUAGAUACCCUAGU